rnacentral:rRNA from 1 species
CCCUUAGAUGUUCUGGGCCGCACGCGCGCUACACUGAUGCAUUCAACGAGUCUAAAACCUGCUCUGAUAGGGGUGGGUAAUCUUUUGAAUGUGCAUCGUGAUUGGGAUAGAUGAUUGCAAUUUUUCAUCUUCAACGAGGAAUGCCUAGUAAACGCAAGUCAUCAGCUUGCAUUGAUUACGUCCCUGCCCUUUGUACACACCGCCCGUCGCUCCUACCGAUUGAAUGAUCCGAUGAAUAUCAUGGAUUGAGGAUUAUAGCAGGUUCGCCUGUCUUGAUCCUCGAGAAGUGAAGUAAAUCUUAUCAUUUAGAGGAAGGAGAAGUCGUAACA